UGGAAACAUUACAUUGUGUCAAUUUGUGUUAAAUAUUUUUGCAUUCUUAAUUUUCACACAGCACACUAUCAAGAAAAUGAAAAAUGUGAACAAAAAGGUUGCUGAUCUUGUGUAAACUGUACUGUAUCAUUCUAUUUCCUUACAAGAUAGUAAUUGCAAUCAAUUCAAUCAAUCACAGAGGACCACACUGGAGAAAAUAUAGCCGGCGGUCUCAACGAUGCUCUUGAGACGUGGGGACUGGAUGAGGACCACUGACAAUGCCAGUAACAACAUCCUUGCUCUCCAGUUGAACGAUAUGCUGCGCCUUCAGUGCUUUGGGCAUCGGCUCCAUCUGGCUGUUGGUGAGUCGUGAGUGUCUUAGUUGGAAUCAGUAUAAAAUGCAUAUUAUUUCAGUACAGUAAUACUGUAGACUCUACAGUAUUACUGUACUGUAAUAUGCAUAUUUAGAUUUAUUGUUAUCAACGGCACACUGAGGCUUUUAAAGUUAUUGUAGUAACAGCCAUAAUGGCAAUUCUCCUGAAUUAUAAUUUCUUAGCAUAGAAAAAGCUAGUUAAAAAGGUAAAAAUACUGAGUAUUUGUCACCUAGUGUGAACAGUAGACCUCUACAAAACAUAAAUACAAUAAAUAAAUACAUUUAAUUUUUUAAUAUGUUUUACUUUUCUAUACACUGAAAUAUAUAGGCAAGAGUAUAAAAUGUUACAUUUACUUCUCAUUACACAGAGCACAGUUUGAAACUGCCCCAGGUGGAACGAGCUGACGGCCUCUGCAAGAAGAUUGUGGCUGCAUUCGGCAAUUCACACAAGAG